rnacentral:rRNA from 1 species
CCAGACUCCUACGGGAGGCAGCAGUGGGGAAUAUUGCACAAUGGGGGAAACCCUGAUGCAGCGACGCAGCGUGAGUGAAGAAGGCUUUCGGGUUGUAAACUUCUUUUCUCAGGGACGAAGAAAGUGACGGUACCUGAGGAAUAAGCCACGGCUAACUACGUGCCAGCAGCCGCGGUAAUACGUAGGGGGCGAGCGUUGUCCGGAAUCACUGGGCGUAAAGGGCGCGUAGGCGGUAAUAUAAGUCAGAUGUGAAAGGUGGGGGCUCAACCCCUAGAGUGCAACUGAUACUGUAUAACUUGAGUGUGAGAGAGGGAAGCGGAAUUCCUAGUGUAGCGGUGAAAUGCGUAGAUAUUAGGAGGAACACCAGUGGCGAAGGCGGCUUUCUGGCUCAUAACUGACGCUGAGGUGCGAAAGCGUGGGGAGCACACAGGAUUAGAUACCCCUGUAU